UUUACAAAAUUAACCGCCGCUCGAAACAACCCCGAAGGGGGCUUUCUAAUGGACCGCUCUCGGCCGUCCCCGCCGAAACCCGCGGUCGCCCGGCGGCCGCAUCUUUCCGGUACCAAUCCGGCUCGGGCUCGCGUCCGACAGCGACCGAUGCCAACCUGCCCAGAUCGGCCGGGUGGCCCGAUUCGGCGGAUCAGGCAAAGGCUCUGAUCGUACGGGCGGGCCGUUUGGGAGGACACGGCGGCUCCCACGUGGUGGUUCAUCGGAUAUUUCUGCUCGUGGCCAAAAUUUGAAUCGCCCGCCCGCUCCUGGGCGUUGGACAACGGGUGGGGGACAGCUGGCAGGCGA
rnacentral:lncRNA from 1 species